UGGGGAAUCUUCCGCAAUGGGCGAAAGCCUGACGGAGCAACGCCGCGUGAAUGAAGAAGGCCUUCGGGUCGUAAAGUUCUGUCUUUUGGGACGAAGGCUCUAUCUGUAAAUAAUGGAUAGAGAUGACGGUACCAAAGGAGGAAGCUCCGGCUAACUACGUGCCAGCAGCCGCGGUAAUACGUAGGGAGCGAGCGUUGUCCGGAAUUACUGGGCGUAAAGGGCGCGUAGGCGGGUAUUUAAGUCAGAUGUGAAAAUCCCAGGCUCAACUUGGGAACUGCAUUUGAAACGGGGUAUCUUGAGGGCAGGAGAGGAAAGUGGAAUUCCUAGUGUAGCGGUGAAAUGCGUAGAUAUUAGGAGGAACACCAGUGGCGAAGGCGACUUUCUGGACUGUACCUGACGCUGAUGCGCGAAAGCGUGGGGAGCGAACG
rnacentral:rRNA from 1 species